rnacentral:SRP_RNA from 1 species
UCAUGUUAAAUUGGGGCGUUAGCGGUGCCCUGUAACUCGAAAUCCGCUCUAGCGAGGAUGAAAACUUGAAUGAGGGAGAAUUUUAUUUUAUUUCUUUAUAAAAAGUGGUGUUGAGAAUUUGAAUUUAUGCAAUUAAAAUUUUGUGAAGUUCGUCAGGGCGGGAACGCAGCAGCGAUAAGCAACACGUUUUAGUGUGUGUGGACAAUCAAAUUUGAGCUGAAUUUUAUUGAGAGUUAUUUAAAAUUAUCUCGAUUUCAUGCACAUGA